GUUGAUAAGGUUAAGUGAAUAAGGGCGCACGGUGGAUGCCUUGGCACUAGGAGCCGAUGAAGGACGGGACUAACACCGAUAUGCUUUGGGGAGCUGUACGUAAGCUAUGAUCCAGAGAUUUCCGAAUGGGGGAACCCAACAUCUUUAAUAGGAUGUUACGAUUGUGUGAAUACAUAGCACAUUCGAGGUAGACGCAGAGAACUGAAACAUCUAAGUACCUGCAGGAAGAGAAAGAAAAUUCGAUUCCCUGAGUAGCGGCGAGCGAAACGGGAAAAGCCCAAACCAGCAAGCUUGCUUGUUGGGGUUGUAGGACUCCAAUAUGGUAGUUCUUUCAGAUAGUCGAAUGACUUGGAAAAGUCAGUCAAAGAGGGUAAAAACCCCGUAGACGAAAUGUGGAAGACACCUAGGAGGAUCCUGAGUACGGCGGAACACGAGAAAUUCCGUCGGAAUCCGGGAGGACCAUCUCCCAAGGCUAAAUACUCCCUAGUGACCGAUAGUGAACCAGUACCGUGAGGGAAAGGUGAAAAGCACCCCGGAAGGGGAGUGAAAUAGAACCUGAAACCGUGUGCCUACAACAAGUCAAAGCCCGUUAAUGGGUGAUGGCGUGCCUUUUGUAGAAUGAACCGGCGAGUUACGAUUGCAUGCGAGGUUAAGUUGAAGAGACGGAGCCGCAGCGAAAGCGAGUCUGAAUAGGGCGUUUGAGUAUGUAGUCGUAGACCCGAAACCAUGUGAUCUACCCAUGUCCAGGUUGAAGGUGCGGUAAAACGCACUGGAGGACCGAACCCACGUACGUUGAAAAGUGCGGGGAUGAGGUGUGGGUAGCGGAGAAAUUCCAAACGAACUUGGAGAUAGCUGGUUCUCUCCGAAAUAGCUUUAGGGCUAGCCUCGGAAUUGAGAAUGAUGGAGGUAGAGCACUGUUUGGACUAGGGGCCCAUCUCGGGUUACCGAAUUCAGAUAAACUCCGAAUGCCAUUCAUUCAUAUCCGGGAGUCAGACUGUGAGUGAUAAGAUCCAUAGUCGAAAGGGAAACAGCCCAGACCACCAGCUAAGGUCCCAAAAUAUAUGUUAAGUGGAAAAGGAUGUGGGGUUGCACAGACAACUAGGAUGUUGGCUUAGAAGCAGCCACCAUUUAAAGAGUGCGUAAUAGCUCACUAGUCGAGUGACCCUGCGCCGAAAAUGUACCGGGGCUAAACAUAUUACCGAAGCUGUGGAGUACACCUUUAGGUGUAUUGGUAGGAGAGCGUUCUAAGGGCGUUGAAGGCAGAUCGUGAGGACUGCUGGAGCGCUUAGAAGUGAGAAUGCCGGUAUGAGUAGCGAAAGACAGGUGAGAAUCCUGUCCACCGAAUGACUAAGGUUUCCUGGGGAAGGCUCGUCCGCCCAGGGUUAGUCGGGACCUAAGCCGAGGCCGACAGGCGUAGGCGAUGGAUAACAGGUUGAUAUUCCUGUACCCGUUGUUUUUGUUUGAGCAAUGGAGGGACGCAGGAGGCUAA
rnacentral:rRNA from 1 species